UACGUAGGGAGCAAGCGUUGUCCGGAUUCACUGGGUGUAAAGGGUGCGCAGGCGGAUUGGCAAGUCAGAGGUGAAAUCUCACGGCUCAACCGUGAAACUGCCUUUGAUACUGCUGAUCUUGAGUUAGGGAGAGGUUGAUGGAAUUCUAGGUGUAGCGGUGAAAUGCGUAGAUAUCUAGAAGAACACCAGUGGCGAAGGCGGUCAACUGGCCCUAAACUGACGCUCAUGCACGAAAACGUGGGGAUCAAACAGG
rnacentral:rRNA from 1 species